CCUACGGGAGGCAGCAGUGAGGAAUAUUGGUCAAUGGACGAGAGUCUGAACCAGCCAAGUAGCGUGAAGGAUGACUGCCCUAUGGGUUGUAAACUUCUUUUAUAUGGGAAUAAAAUGUUCCACGUGUGGGAUUUUGUAUGUACCAUAUGAAUAAGGAUCGGCUAACUCCGUGCCAGCAGCCGCGGUAAUACGUAGGUGGCAAGCGUUGUCCGGAUUUACUGGGGGUAAAGGGCGUGCAGCCGGGAAGACAAGUCAGAUGUGAAAGCCCGCGGCUCAACCGCGGAACUGCAUUUGAAACUGUUUUUCGUGAGUACCGGAGAGGUCAUCGGAAUUCCUUGUGUAGCGGUGAAAUGCGUAGAUAUAAGGAAGAACACCAGUGGCGAAGGCGGAUGACUGGACGGCAACUGACGGUGAGGCGCGAAAGCGUGGGGAGCAAACAGGAUUAGAUACCCCUGUAGUC
rnacentral:rRNA from 1 species